rnacentral:rRNA from 1 species
UACAGAGGUCUCAAGCGUUGUUCGGAUUCAUUGGGCGUAAAGGGUGCGUAGGUGGGCAGGUAAGUCAGUGGUGAAAUCUCCGGGCUCAACCCGGAAACUGCCAUUGAUACUAUCAGUCUUGAAUAUCGUGGAGGUAAGCGGAAUAUGUCAUGUAGCGGUGAAAUGCUUAGAUAUGACAUAGAACACCAAUUGCGAAGGCAGCUUACUACCCGAAUAUUGACACUGAGGCACGAAAGCGUGGGGAUCAAACAGG